rnacentral:rRNA from 1 species
UGCUUCUUGAAUAUAAUAAGAAGUAAUCUCCUGCCCAGUGAAUUUUAAACGGCCGCGGUAUCCUAACCGUGCAAAGGUAGCAUAAUAAUUUGCCCAUUAAUUGUGGGCUAGAAUGAAAGGGGUAACGAAAUAAGCACUGUCUCAAUAAAAUAAAUAAAAACUAAUAUCCAAGUGAAGAAACUUAGAUCAUAUUAGAGGACAAGAAGACCCUAUAGAGCUUUAUCUUUUUAUGUAUGCACAAAUAAAAGAUUCGGUUGGGGCGACCAUGGAUAAAUCAUCCAUAAUAAAUAAGACUAACCAGUCAAUAAAUGGAUCCUCUUAAGAUCAUAGAAUCAAGCUACCUUAGGGAUAACAGGCUAAUCCUAUUAAAGAGCUCUUAUCGACAAUAGGGAUUGGCACCUCGAUGUUGGCUUAGAAUAUCUAUGUGGCGCAGAAGUCAUAAAAAGAGGGUUUGUUCAACCCAUAACAUUC